rnacentral:rRNA from 1 species
GCAGCCGCCGCGGUAAUACGGAGGGUGCAAGCGUUAUCCGGAUUUAUUGGGUUUAAAGGGUCCGUAGGCGGAUCUGUAAGUCAGUGGCGAAAUCUCACAGCUUAACUGUGAAACUGCCAUUGAUACUGCAGGUCUUGAGUAAAUUUGAAGUGGCUGGAAUAAGUAGUGUAGCGGUGAAAUGCAUAGAUAUUACUUAGAACACCAAUUGCGAAGGCAGGUCACUAAGAUUUAACUGACGCUGAUGGACGAAAGCGUGGGGAGCGAACAGGAUUAGAUACCCCGGUAGUCCCUGUCUCUUAUAC